rnacentral:tRNA from 3 species
CGGGAUAGCUCAGCUGGUAGAGCA